GAGCUUGGCGGUGUUUUAGACCUCUCAGGGGAACCUGUCUCAUAAUCGACAAUCCACGUUAAACCUAACCUUUGAUAGCAAUUCAGCCUGUAUACCGUUGUCGUAAGGUAACUUCUUAAAAUAUAGUAGUUAGCUUGAAAAUUUUAUUAAUUAAAACGUCAAAUCAAGGUGCAGCUAAUAAAAAGGUGAAGAUGGGUUACAAUUACAUAUUUGUAAAUACGGAUAAACAUUUGAAAGAAUGUCUUAAAGGAGGACUUGAAAGUAAUUUUAAUUAUAUAAACAAAAUGAAUGAGGCUCUGAAACGUGCACACAUCGCCCGUCGCUCUCGUUGAAAAAUGAGAUAAGUCGUAACAUAGUAGGGGUAAUGGAAAUUGUUCCUAGGC
rnacentral:rRNA from 1 species